CGGGAAAAGCUCAAAUUUAAAAUCUGGCGGUCCCUGUGGCCGUCCGAGUUGUAAUUUAGAGAAGUGUUAUCCGUGCUGGACCGUGUACAAGUCUCCUGGAAUGGAGCGUCAUAGAGGGUGAGAAUCCCGU
rnacentral:rRNA from 1 species